GCGGGGCGGGCCGGGCCUUUCCCAGGACACCCACGGGUGUCAGCCGCACCCACCGAGCCCCGGCAGAGGGGAAGCCAAGUCCAGGCACCCCUCCUGGGCCCAGACCCGAGGCCUGAGCCGGGCAGCCACCGGAAGACCCGGUCCGGGGGGCCCGGGCUGCGGGGCCCUGUGCGCAGCUUCGCCCCGCUGUGUGUCCAGGCCUGGGCCUGGGCCGCCUGGUGCGCGGGCACCUCAGCCCCAGGACGGCUGCGGGGCGACCGCUGCCUGCAGAGGAGGGAGCCAGCGCUCCAGGGCAGCCGGACUGGAGUUCAGAAGCCUCGGCUCCAGCUCCCUGCUCCCCACCUGCGGGCCUCGCCUUCCCCCCUCAGCCCCAAGGAGGGCACCGCGUGUGAAGGGCGUCACUCUCCCGUGCGCACGCUGGUUCCCUUCCUUCUUCCCGGUGACUGGGCUAAUUCACAGCCCGGGAAACCCCGAGACUGAGCCGGGAGCGGCCCAGGAGCCUGCAGCUGGUUUGAUCUCAGCCACCGCUGACUCCCAGACGCGGCCCUCAGCGCCAAACCGGCCUGAUCACUGCCAGACGCCACCCGGCUCCUGCUUCCCCGUUUGCGGUUCCCGCCCCCCACAGAUACUGCCCCUUUGGCUCCCGGGCUCAAGACCCGAGCUCUCUCCUUCUGGCCCGCAUGGAAUCCUGUAGGAGGCGGGAGGUGGCCCGCGUGACACACACGCGCCCCCAAUCCCUCCUGGUAAUGAUUGUUCCUGCGUGAUGCAGAGAAGCGCCAGGCAGCCUCGGAGCCCCUGCAGGCCGGGGACCAAAUCUGUCCCUCCCCUCCUUCCCAGGAGCGUCCAUUUCGGUCAAGAGGGAGGCCGUGUGGGAAGGGCCUAGAAGGGCUGGGGGCAAACAAGCCACAAGGACUGCGGCUGGGGUCGAUAUACAAGACAGGGCCUGGCUAUGUAGCCAGGCUGGCCUUCAACUCCCACGAUCCUCCUGCCUCAGCCGCACUCUCUCCAGAGUGCGGGGAUCGAAGGCGUGCGCCACCCCACUCAGCAUGCACUGGAUGAGAUCCCGAAGGCAGCUUCUUGUUUGGUCUCUGUCUCAUCUUGGCACCUUGGCCAGGAGUCGGGCCGUGAUCGGCAGGAGCAGAAAGAGCCGGGCUUCAUGAGGACAGAGGCUGUUCCUGCAGGGGUCUCCCUUUGCUCCCACCCCUCAGGGUCACUUCCUUCCCCUUCUAAGCUCAUUUCUAUUUUUGCUAAUAAAAAUAUGCUCUUUCCAGG